GAUGAACGCUGGCGGCAUGCUUUACACAUGCAAGUCGGGCGGGCAGUGGUGUUUCCAGUGGCGGUCGGGUGAGUAACGCGUAAGAACCUGCCCUGGGGAGGGGCACAACAGCUGGAAACGGCUGCUAAUACCCCGUAGGCCGAGUAGCGAAAGGAGUAAUCCGCCACAGGAGGGGCUCGCGACUGAUUGACUAGUUGGCGAGGUAAUAGCUUACCAAGGCGGUUAUCAGUAUUUGUUCGGAGAGGAUGAUCAGCCACACUGGGACGGAGACAAGGCCCAGGCACCUACGGGAGACAGGAGAGGGGAAUUUUCAGCAACGCGGGAAAGGCUGACAGGGCAAUGCCGCGUGGAGGCAAAAGGACUAGGGGUGAUGAACUUCUUUAGUUGCUAAACACACCAUGACGGUAUCUGGGCAAUAAGCCACGGCUAACUCUGUG
rnacentral:rRNA from 1 species